rnacentral:rRNA from 1 species
UGAGUACGAGAUGCUACGGCAUCGAAGCAGUCUAUGUCAUACUUCCAAGAAAAGCUUGCAAUGUCAUAAACAAAUAAUGCCUGUACCAUAACCGACACAGGUGGGUAGGUAGAGUAUACUAAGGGGCGCGAGAUAACUCUCUCUAAGGAACUCGGCAAAAUGACUCCGUAACUUCGGGAGAAGGAGUGCCUUAUUUUUAUAAGGUUGCAAUAACAAGAUCCAAGCAACUGUUUACCAAAAACACAGGUCUCCGCUAAGUCGUAAGACGAUGUAUGGGGGCUGACGCCUGCCCAGUGCCAGAAGGUUAAAGAAGUUGGUUAGCAUUAGCGAAGCUGAUAACUGAAGCCCUGGUGAACGGCGGCCGUAACAAUAACGGUCCUAAGGUAGCGAAAUUCCUUGUCGGGUAAGUUCCGACCCGCACGAAAGGCGUAAUGAUUUGGAUACUGUCUCGGAGAGGGGCUCGGUGAAAUAGACUUGUCUGUGAAGAUGCGGACUACCUGCACCUGGACAGAAAGACCCUAUGAAGCUUUACUGUAACUUGAGAUUGAAAUUGGACUUUAUCUGCGCAGUAUAGGUGGGAGACGUUGAAAAUAUUCUUGCGGGAAUAUUGGAGUCAUCAGUGAGAUACCACUCUUAUAAUGUUAGAUUCCUAACUUUGUAUCAUUAUCUGGUCAAAGAACAGUUCCAGGCGGGCAGUUUGACUGGGGCGGUCGCCUCCCAAACGGUAACGGAGGCGCACAAAGGUUUCCUCUGAACGUGUAGAAAUCGUAUCUAGAGUGUAAAGGCAUAAGGAAGCUUGACUGUGAGACCUACAAGUCGAGCAGGGAAAAGUCGGUCUUAGUGAUCUGACGGUGCUGAGUGGAAAGGCCGUCACUCAACGGAUAAAAGUUACUCUAAGGAUAACAGGCUGAUCUCCCCCAAGAGUUCACAUCGACGGGGAGGUUUGGCACCUCGAUGUCGGCUCAUCGCAUCCUGGGGCGGUAGUACGUCCCAAGGGUUGGGCUGUUCGCCCAUGAAAGCGGUACGCGAGCUGGGUUCAGAACGUCGUGAGACAGUUCGGUCCAUAUCCGGUGUAGGCGUUAGAAUAUUGAGAGGAGCCUUCUUUAGUACGAGAGGACCGAGAAGGACAUACCUCUGGUGUACCAGUUAUCGUGCCAACGGUAAACGCUGGGUAGCCAUGUAUGGAGAGGAUAACCGCUGAAAGCAUCUAAGUGGGAAGCCCACCUCAAGAUAAGUAUUCUU